AGGAAAAUGAGGAAAUAAAAACACGUUCGAUUUCCUCGUCAGAAUGUAUAUAAAAGUGUAAAUAAUUCCUUUUCAAACACAACAAGCUCUGACAGAGAUUGAACAAGUGUAAGCUACUGUACGUUAGUGAAUACAGAAAAAAGGUGAAGAUGCUGAAGCUGAUCGUACUCUCCUGUCUGAUGGCCUGUGUCAUGUGCCAAUCAUAUCGAGGAAGUCGGGAUUCCUUUUUGUUGGACGGUAUAAUUGGUAACAGUUGGGAUACAGGUUUGGGUCAAUGGGGAUCCAAUCGCUGGGGUAAUGACGCAUGGAAUCGUGAUAUAUACGGAAGUGACGUGUACCGACGUGGCAACAGAAGGUGGAGAAACAGAAGAAUAGACAGAUAUUGAUUUAGAGACCAUGAAGUGUAGAAAAGACCCAUAUGGCCAAAGACUCAAACCGGAAAAUCCAUUGUCAUCUUCCAACAUUACAUUCAUUUGUAAAUUCACAUUCACAAAUAAUUUGUUAAUAAAUUCAUAUAUUUGUA